UACUCGAGUGGCGAACGGGUGAGUAACACGUGGGUGAUCUGCCCUGCACUCUGGGAUAAGCCUGGGAAGCUGGGUCUAAUACCGGAUAGGACCAUGCUUUAGUGUGUGUGGUGGAAAGUUUUUUCGGUGUAGGAUGAGCCCGCGGCCUACCAGCUUGUUGGUGGGGUAAUGGCCUACCAAGGCGGCGACGGGUAGCCGGACUGAGAGGUUGGUCGGCCACAUUGGGACUGAGAUACGGCCCAG
rnacentral:rRNA from 1 species